rnacentral:rRNA from 1 species
AUUGAACGCUGGCGGCAGGCCUAACACAUGCAAGUCGAGCGAGCGGCGGACGGGUGAGUAAUGUCUGGGAAACUGCCUGAUGGAGGGGGAUAACUACUGGAAACGGUAGCUAAUACCGCAUACCAUCAGAUGUGCCCAGAUGGGAUUGGCUAGUGGGUGGGGUAACGGCUCACCUAGGCGACGAUCCCUAGCUGGUCUGAGAGGAUUACAAGCCCCGCAGGAACUGAGACACGGUCCAUACUCGUCCUUGCAUCAUCAUUUUGCAAUAUUGCACAAUUGGGGCAAGCCUGAUACAGCCAUGCCGCGUGUAUGAAGAAAACCUUCGGGUUUUAAAGUACUUUCAGCGGGAAGGCGUUACCCGCAGAAGAGGCACCGGCUAGCUCCGUGCCAGGAGCCGCGGUAAUUC